CAGUCAUCCAAGUGGUCCACCUUUAAAACAUAGAUGAAAACAUUUUUUUUUUUUUCCAGCUUCCUUAUGGCUUAUGUUCCUCUCUGGGAGACUGUUUUCACUCAUCAAAGACAUUAGAACUAGAAACAAAUGCCAGGGAUGUCUUCAGCAGCCCUGCACAGAAAGGCAAACCUCAGCCUCCAUGACAAUGGGCAACAAAGAUGCUCACCUAAUGUGAAUGGAAUCCUGCUUGGAAAACAACUGAAGAGCAGAGACUGGGCAGUAUAAACGGGGACAGUCACUGUGAUCCCUUUGUCAGGGUCUUGAAACACUCAGCUUCCUCUUUCGAGUAGUGAUGAAAUUUAAACUAUGUGUGAUAGUUUAA